rnacentral:rRNA from 1 species
UUGCCAGACUCCUACGGGAGGCAGCAGUGGGGAAUAUUGGACAAUGGGGGGAACCCUGAUCCAGCGACGCCGCGUGAGUGAAGAAGUGUUUCGGUAUGUAAAUCUCUAUCAGCAGGGAAGAAAGAAAUGACGGUACCUGACUAAGAAGCCCCGGCUAACUACGUGCCAGCAGCCGCGGUAAUACGUAGGGAGCGAGCGUUGUCCGGAAUUACUGGGUGUAAAGGGAGCGUAGGCGGGAUUGCAAGUUGGAUGUGAAAACUGCGGGCUCAACCCGGAGCGUGCAUUCAAAACUGCGAUUCUUGAGUGAAGUAGAGGCAAGCGGAAUUCCUAGUGUAGCGGUGAAAUGCGUAGAUAUUAGGAGGAACACCAGUGGCGAAGGCGGCUUGCUGGGCUUUUACUGACGCUGAGGCUCGAAAGUGUGGGGAGCAAACAGGAUUAGAUACCCCAGUAU